GUUUCUUAAACGGAAGCAAACUGAACGAAACUGGGAUGGACCUACCUGAAUUUGAACAAUAGAAACUGUCGUUUUGGUCCGUUUUCUUCCUUUUGGUUCUUAAACGGUACAUGGUUUCCGUAACGAAUACGCCCCAUGGUUCACUUCGCUGUUGCGCCAGGACAUUAGGGAUCCUCAAUAUUUUACAGCUGAUUCGCUGAAGUGCUGGAGGAAAAGAAAGUGUGAGACUGUCAGUCACAGACGUAGCCUACGCUCCAAUGCCAGUUCAAACUGGGGGAAUGGAAGGGAGGAUCGCGGUGGCAGCGCCAGUACUAAUGUCAGAGAGAGAGAUUCAACAUCGGUCUAUGGCAGAGGAGGAUCCUAACGGGAAUGAGCACGGUUCGGCUGCCCGCAGCACGGCGCCUCGUUGGGGACCGCAGCAUGCAGGGGCCCGACAACUUGCAACACUGUACUCACCUGGUAAGCGACUGCAAGAGUGGAUCAGUGUAGUUCUGUGCCUCUCUCUCUUCAUCAUUAACCUCUCCUUCCUUCUCCUCAACUUCUCCACUGUGCACAUCUACAAAAUCAUCUUCGGCAUCCUAAUGGGGAUAGUGAUGGCGGACUUUGCAUCUGGUAUGGUGCACUGGGGAGCAGACACCUGGGGCUCUGUGGACAUCCCUGUCCUUGGGAAGGCAUUCAUCCGCCCAUUCCGGGAACACCACAUUGACCCCACAGCCAUCACUCGACAUGACUUCAUAGAGACCAAUGGGGACAACUGCAUGCUCACAAUACUGCCCCUGGCACAUAUGGCCUACAAGUUCCUGACGUACCAGCCAGAUGCCCUAGCAGAGACCUACCCCUGGCAGUGCUUUGUGUUUGCACUGGCAGUCUUCGUGACGUUGACCAAUCAGAUCCAUAAGUGGUCUCACUCCUACUUUGGUCUUCCCCGCUGGGUGACGCUGCUGCAGGACUGUCACCUGGUGUUACCACGGAAACACCACCGCAUCCACCACGUGUCCCCUCACGAGACCUACUACUGCAUCACCACAGGGUGGUUGAACUACCCUCUGGACAAGGUGGGCUUCUGGCGGAGGAUGGAGAGGUUGAUAGAGAGAGUGACAGGUCACACGCCUCGGAGUGAUGACAUGGAAUGGACCAAGAAAAUGGAGUGAAGGGCUCUGGGACUCUCUCUGGACCAGGAGGACAGUGGGGUGGGGGUUUUGGGCUGGCGGGCUAAGACUGGGAAGGGUUUUUCCUGCUUUUCACCCACUUCCUGUGUCUCUCUUCCUUACCCCUUACACUAUAACACGCCUACAGUAUAUACUUCCUUGUCAUGGCACAGCACCUCAGCAAUGACACUAGUAAUGCGGCCUUCUAGAUACUUCCAAGAUCCAUCCGUUCUUUACUUUUGUUUGCUAUUUGCUUUUUCAGUGUUGCAAGAGAAGCAGUCCACAGUCAGACUCUGUUUGCAAUAGUCGGUCCAGUGGCAGAUCUGGGGUUGACUUUGGAGAUUCUUUUGUCCUUUUUGUGACCCCAUUUCUGUUAACUGCUCAUCCUUCCAUCCAAUGGACUUGUAUCUCCUUGCAUAUCUUAACCAAUUGGCUGUUAUUUUAUUGUGUCAGUGUAAGAGGUUUCUGGAGGAUGGGCUCUCCAGGGGAAAAACCAUGUUGUCUUCUCAGGCAUUGUCUUACAUGACACAGAGAAAGAGGCUGUCAUCUGGAUUCAAGUUCAGCUUAAUGUAAGAAGGCAGUCAUAUUGCUCCUUACCUAAGUUGGGGAAAAACAACCAAAUGUCUUACCUACAGUAUGUAUUGGCCUUUUAAAUGUAUCGAUUUUAUUUGUUUGAUUCAAUGGAAUUUGUUUUGAAAUUAUGUUUAGAUCAAUCAUGGUGCAAUGAAACGUUGACUCAAACAAAUGACCCUCACCUCUAGUAACUAUGUGACGAUGUUCACAGAUUCUUCCUUACUCAUUUGGUCAGGUAAGAGUAGAGAACCACGGAGGAUCAAACAGCAGGCUAUUUAUUUUGAAGACUGUAAUGAAAUUCUUUCUACCUUCAAAAGGUAAAUAUCUGCACUUUACUGACUUACCCAUACCUAUGUUUAUAAAAGACAGUCCUGUCAGCACGCACACGCAGACACACGCACACACAGACACACACACACACACACGCAGGUUGACUUUUGUCAUGAGUCUUGUCCUGGAGGCAGAACUGAGCGAUUUCCCUUAGAUAGGCCAGCUGCAAAGUCAAAAGUAUCUAUAUUGAAGAAGAAAACAAAUCUCAUUAUAUUUGGUCUUAAUUUAAGGUUAGGGUUAGGCAUAAGGGUUAGCAGUGUGGUUAAGGUUAGGGUUAGCAGUGUGGAUAAGGUUAGGGUUAGGCAUAAGGGUUAGCAGUGUGGUUAAGGUUAGGGUUAGGUUUAAAAAUCUGAUUUUUUUUACUUUGUGUCUGUGCCAGCUAGUGACCACUCUGCAGAGCUGCCUCCAGAACAACAUUCAUGACGAAAAACGCUAACCUGCCACACACACACACACACACACAGUUCCUGUCCAUCAUUGCAUUGAAUCGCUUGGACAGCUCGAAAGCAGCCAUAAUACACCCAGUUGAAAUAAGUAUGGUGUUUUCAUCUUUGGGUUCAUACCAGCAGCUUUUGGUUUUCUGUCUGGCUUUAUAAUGUUACAUUUUUUAUAUUAACAGAUCAGCCUUGAAUUGAAUUAUUACUUCCCAUCAUGCAACUAUUGCUCACAGCUAGUCUGCCUUAAUGUUUUUAUCUGCUGUAUGAUUUAAUAAAGCUCUAUUAACUGAA